GGCGGUGUAGCUCAGUUGGUAGAGCAAACGACUUCAUAAUCGUUGCGUCGCCGGUUCAAGUCCGGUCACCGCUA
rnacentral:tRNA from 1 species